CCUACGGGUGGCAGCAGUGGGGAAUAUUGGGCAAUGGGCGCAAGCCUGACCCAGCAACGCCGCGUGAAGGAAGAAGGCUUUCGGGUUGUAAACUUCUUGUGACAGGGAAGAGCAGAAGACGGUACCUGUCGAAUAAGCCACGGCUAACUACGUGACAGCAGCAGCGGUAAUACGUAGGUGGCAAGCGUUGUCCGGAUUUACUGGGGGUAAAGGGCGUGUAGCCGGGCUGACAAGUCAGAUGUGAAAUCCGGGGGCUCAACCCCCGAACUGACUUUGAAACUGGUGGUCUUGAGUAUCGGAGAGGCAGGCGGAAUUCCUGGUGGAGCGGUGAAAUGCGUAGAUAUUAGGCAGAACACCAGGGGCGAAGGCGGCCUGCUGGACGACAACGGACGGGGAGGCGCGAAAGCGUGGGGAGCAAACAGGAUUAGAUACCCCUGUAGUC
rnacentral:rRNA from 1 species